UCCGACAAGGGUGAGCAGUGGUGCCUGCAGAGCCACGGAAAUCUCUCCGCGUAUGGCCAGUGCAGGGAUAAUUACGGAAUAUUCUGCCAGCACCACACAGAAAUCCAUGUGUACAGGAAUAACUGUUGUCAUCCCAUCUGUCCAGGGAGUUUACUCGAGGCUUUUGGGUAAGCCAAACUUCUUACUGUACUUUAAAUCUCCAUUAACUUCUGCAUGAACUGAAUUGAGAUUGAGGAUAAUUGCUUCAAAUUUGAAGAGACAGAAAAGGAAAAUCAAGCUGGCACAGCUCACAUUAUCAAUACCUCUUACAACAUAUGACCAUUUCAAAACAACUGUUGCAAUAAUCUAUAAAAUACAAAGAGGACGAGAACUGAGCAGAGAUCACAAACCUUAUGAACUUUAUGCUUUACAGCAGGUGGGGAUUAAUCACAAGUGAUUUAUUUUCUGUAACACCAUUUAACUAUAAAACAUCACCACCAAUAAAUCCAGAGAAGUACCUCGACCUGCCCAAUGAAACAGGCUCUCAUGGAAUAACAGAAUGGUUUGGGUUGGGUGAUUAAUCAGCAGCAUUAAAUUGCAUGUAUGGAUUAUUUCCCUAAUCAACCUGAUUCACAGUUACGUAUGAUCUGGCAAAGCCAAGGCUUAUAUCCAAUAACAUUAUCAAAUGUUUCAUUAGAAACACCACCAAAUCCAUGUCAAACACAUUACUUUAUUUGUCUAGGAUGAUGUGUCCUAUAAGGUACAAAAAAGUACUCUUCAGUUUGCCACAAUUUGUUAAAAACAGCAAUCUAUUGCCUACAGGUAGGAAAGAUUUAAAUCAUGUCAAUAUGGAUUUAGGUAUGAAUAAAUAGUACAGAAAUGCUGAGAAGUUGGGAUGAGAUGCAGGAUAUGUCCCAGUGCUGUUAAAGGUGAGAUUCUUCCUUGUCGCAUUAAAACACACUGCUUACAAUAUGCAGCAUCUUUUUAAAAUGUCAAAGAACAACAUAACCUAAAUGCAACUACUCUUCUUUGACUUUCAGAAGCAUAAAUGGAUUGUUUCCACACUGAACAAUUAGUAAUUUUCACAGAUAGUUUAAAUGACAACAUUUGUAUGUACAAAAACACAUGGGUUUUUAGUAGAUAAAAUCCCCCCAGAAGAACCUGAACACCUGAGCUGGAAGUGUAAGAAAGGGUGGUCAGUAGCAACAUCUUUUUAAGAAAAAUAACAGAGGAGGUUCUUGCAUAGCAAGGUGUGAGGUUAAACCCAAAAGGAGCUUAUCCAUAAAUCAGGUAAAUCCCAGACCACUGUAGAACAGAAGUUGACUGUGAGUUAGUGCAAAAGCUGGUCAGGUGGGUGAGGAGCUGCAGGGAAACCAGGGCUGGGAACUACAGACAGGUACCAGAGCAAGUCAGUCACACACAGCAAAAGAAAAGCCUCCUCAUCUGCAAUUUGCAUCUUCUUGGACUCCAGUUCAUCCCUCAGGGCAGCGCUGCUCCCACAGGGAACACUGGGGCAGCCCAGGAGGCUCCCAGGGACGCAACUACAGGUGGUGCUCAGCAUUCCCAGAGCACUUGGCAAAGAUCACUGAGCUCCAGUGGGCAGGGACACCUCACAGACACCUCUUACCCUGUCACAGCUGGAACAGUCAUUGUGGCACCACUGUGGGAAUGUUUCAUUGGGAUAACGGGACUGGAACACGAUUGGGUCCCACUCCCUGGCCAUUCCCACCCCUGUUCCUUGCAAUCCCUACACUCCUGCACAGAUCCCCGAAGUGUCACACACACGUGUCAGCGCACACUCAAACACACCUACGGCUGUGGGGAGAACAAUGAUCUCCAUUUAUUUUGUUUCAUAUACAUCCAUAUUUUGAAUUUUAAUACAAAAGAAAAAAAAUUAGAAUCUGACAAAUGUUUACAAACAAGAUACCUUCAAAUAGAUUUUACUCAGUUCAGUCUGGUGCAGAGUAAAUGACAAAUUGUACUGUUUGUUAUAUUCAAGGCAACAGAGUCUGUAGUCCAUGACCACUCAGCCCAACUUUUAUGCAAGCUUGUUUUAAUCUACCAUGAAUGAUAAACUCCUUGUUGAUUCCCAGUCCUGUGUAUGUGCACAUGUGUACAUAGCAGCUCCUUUCAUAGAAAGAAAAGACAUCUAGAGGUCUUCUUGUACUUUUACCUACAGGAAUCAUGUUAAGAUACAGAAUGGAUUACAUGGAACCGGGGCUGGAUUUUAUAAGAAAAAAUAAUUAGCUGACAAAUGAGGGCAGCAAUAAAAAAGCGUCUUUUUUGCAACAAUAAAUAAAUACAGUCAAA